AUUGAACGCUGGCGGCAUGCCUUACACAUGCAAGUCGAACGGCAGCACGGGUGCUUGCACCUGGUGGCGAGUGGCGAACGGGUGAGUAAUACAUCGGAACAUGUCCUGUAGUGGGGGAUAGCCCGGCGAAAGCCGGAUUAAUACCGCAUACGAUCUACGGAUGAAAGCGGGGGACCUUCGGGCCUCGCGCUAUAGGGUUGGCCGAUGGCUGAUUAGCUAGUUGGUGGGGUAAAGGCCUACCAAGGCGACGAUCAGUAGCUGGUCUGAGAGGACGACCAGCCACACUGGGACUGAGACACGGCCCAGACUCAUACGGGAGGCAGCAGUGGGGAAUUUUGGACAAUGGGCGAAAGCCUGAUCCAGCAAUGCCGCGUGUGUGAAGAAGGCCUUCGGGUUGUAAAGCACUUUUGUCCGGAAAGAAAUCCUUGGCCCUAAUACGGUCGGGGGAUGACGGUACCGGAAGAAUAAGCACCGGCUAACUACGUG
rnacentral:rRNA from 1 species